CACGUAGGGCGCAAGCGUUGUCCGGAAUUAUUGGGCGUAAAGAGCUCGUAGGCGGUCUGUUACGUCUGCUGUGAAAACCCAGGGCUUAACCCUGGGCCUGCAGUCGAUACGGGCAGACUUGAGUUCGGUAGGGGAGACUGGAAUUCCUGGUGUAGCGGUGAAAUGCGCAGAUAUCAGGAGGAACACCGGUGGCGAAGGCGGGUCUCUGGGCCGAUACUGACGCUGAGGAGCGAAAGCGUGGGGAGCAAACAGG
rnacentral:rRNA from 1 species